rnacentral:rRNA from 1 species
CAGGCUUAACACAUGCAAGUCGAGGGGCAGCAUGGUCUUAGCUUGCUAAGACUGAUGGCGACCGGCGCACGGGUGAGUAACACGUAUCCAACCUGCCGUCUACUCUUGGACAGCCUUCUGAAAGGAAGAUUAAUACAAGAUGGCAUCAUGAGUCCGCAUGUUCACAUGAUUAAAGGUAUUCCGGUAGACGAUGGGGAUGCGUUCCAUUAGAUAGUAGGCGGGGUAACGGCCCACCUAGUCUUCGAUGGAUAGGGGUUCUGAGAGGAAGGUCCCCCACAUUGGAACUGAGACACGGUCCAAACUCCUACGGGAGGCAGCAGUGAGGAAUAUUGGUCAAUGGGCGAGAGCCUGAACCAGCCAAGUAGCGUGAAGGAUGACUGCCCUAUGGGUUGUAAACUUCUUUUAUAAAGGAAUAAAGUCGGGUAUGGAUACCCGUUUGCAUGUACUUUAUGAAUAAGGAUCGGCUAACUCCGUGCCAGCAGCCGCGGUAAUACGGAGGAUCCGAGCGUUAUCCGGAUUUAUUGGGUUUAAAGGGAGCGUAGAUGGAUGUUUAAGUCAGUUGUGAAAGUUUGCGGCUCAACCGUAAAAUUGCAGUUGAUACUGGAUAUCUUGAGUGCAGUUGAGGCAGGCGGAAUUCGUGGUGUAGCGGUGAAAUGCUUAGAUAUCACGAAGAACUCCGAUUGCGAAGGCAGCCUGCUAAGCUGCAACUGACAUUGAGGCUCGAAAGUGUGGGUAUCAAACAGGAUUAGAUACCCUGGUAGUCCACACGGUAAACGAUGAAUACUCGCUGUUUGCGAUAUACGGCAAGCGGCCAAGCGAAAGCGUUAAGUAUUCCACCUGGGGAGUACGCCGGCAACGGUGAAACUCAAAGGAAUUGACGGGGGCCCGCACAAGCGGAGGAACAUGUGGUUUAAUUCGAUGAUACGCGAGGAACCUUACCCGGGCUUAAAUUGCAGAUGAAUUACGGUGAAAGCCGUAAGCCGCAAGGCAUCUGUGAAGGUGCUGCAUGGUUGUCGUCAGCUCGUGCCGUGAGGUGUCGGCUUAAGUGCCAUAACGAGCGCAACCCUUGUUGUCAGUUACUAACAGGUUCCGCUGAGGACUCUGACAAGACUGCCAUCGUAAGAUGUGAGGAAGGUGGGGAUGACGUCAAAUCAGCACGGCCCUUACGUCCGGGGCUACACACGUGUUACAAUGGGGGGUACAGAGGGCCGCUACCACGCGAGUGGAUGCCAAUCCCAAAAACCUCUCUCAGUUCGGACUGGAGUCUGCAACCCGACUCCACGAAGCUGGAUUCGCUAGUAAUCGCGCAUCAGCCACGGCGCGGUGAAUACGUUCCCGGGCCUUGUACACACCGCCCGUCAAGCCAUGGGAGCCGGGGGUACCUGAAGUGCGUAACCGCGAGGAGCGCCCUAGGGUAAAACUGGUGACUGGGGC